AAAACGCUGGCGGCGUGCCUACACAUGCAAGUCGAGCGAUGAAGUUUCCUUCGGGAACGGAUUAGCGGCGGACGGGUGAGUAACACGUGGGUAACCUGCCUCAUAGAGGGGAAUAGCCUUCCGAAAGGAAGAUUAAUACCGCAUAACAUUGCAGUUUCGCAUGAAACAGCAAUUAAAGGAGCAAUCCGCUAUGAGAUGGACCCGCGGCGCAUUAGCUAGUUGGUAAGGUAAUGGCUUACCAAGGCGACGAUGCGUAGCCGACCUGAGAGGGUGAUCGGCCACAUUGGGACUGAGACACGGCCCAGACUCCUACGGGAGGCAGCAGUGGGGAAUAUUGCACAAUGGGGGAAACCCUGAUGCAGCAACGCCGCGUGAGUGAUGACGGUCUUCGGAUUGUAAAGCUCUGUCUUUGGGGACGAUAAUGACGGUACCCAAGGAGGAAGCCACGGCUAACUACGUGCCAGCAGCCGCGGAAAUACGUAGGUGGCAAGCGUUGUCCGGAUUUACUGGGCGUAAAGGGAGCGUAUGCGGAUUUUUAAGUGUGGAUGUGUAAAUUACCCGGGUCUCAACCUGGUGUGCUGUCAUUCCUAAACUGGGAAUCUACAGUGCCAAGAAGGGUAAGAGUGGAAUUCCUUAGUGGUUAGCGGGUGAAAUGCGUUAAUGUAUUAGGGUAAUAACGCCGCGUUGCCGAGGGAUGCUCUCUUUUGUACUUGUUACCUGCACUUAUGUAAGAUGUCCUCAUAGCGUCGGAUAGAGUCAAAGUGGUGAUUAAUAUUAUUACUUGUGAGGUAAGUAUAACAGCAGUAUACAUGUAGAGAGAGCAGUGAUGAGAGAUAUGACAUUAAUAUGUAUUGCGAUGAUGUAGUGUGUGGUGUUUAUUUCUAAGAAAGUGAUACACAUUCUACGAGUAUUGAUGAAGUACUACCUCGUACGUCAUA
rnacentral:rRNA from 1 species